rnacentral:snRNA from 1 species
GUGCUCCCUUCAGUAACUCACAUGCUAAAGUUGGAACAAUACGGAGAGAUUAUCAUGGCUCUAUGUAAGGCUGGUAUGCAAACUUGUGAAGUGUUCCCUACGCUU